rnacentral:rRNA from 1 species
UACGAAGGGGGCUAGCGUUGUUCGGAAUUACUGGGCGUAAAGCGCACGUAGGCGGACUAUUAAGUCAGGGGUGAAAUCCCGGGGCUCAACCCCGGAACUGCCUUUGAUACUGGUGGUCUAGAGUCCGGAAGAGGUGAGUAGAAUUCCGAGUGUAGAGGUGAAAUUCGUAGAUAUUCGGAGGAACACCAGUGGCGAAGGCGGCUCACUGGUCCGGUACUGACGCUGAGGUGCGAAAGCGUGGGGAGCAAACAGG